GGCUGCGUAGUGUAGCGGUUAUCACAUCAGACUCUGACUUCCGUAUCUCGACUCUGGUGACCCCGGUUCGAUUCCGGGCGCGGCCU